rnacentral:snoRNA from 1 species
AUACCAUGAUGAUGGAACUUUCGUAGUAAUUCCUUGAAUCAUUCCUAAACCUUAUUUAGGGAUUCAUUAUCGAACUAUUGGAAUGUGAUGAUAUCAUUCCUAAGCUU